UAAGACGAACCGUGCGAACGUUAUUCGGAAUCACUGGGCCUAAAGCGCGUGUAGGCGGGCCGGCACGUCGACGGCUGAAAUCCCCCGGCUCAACCGGGGAACGGGCCUCGAUACGACCGGCCUGGAGGGGGGUAGGGGGCGCCGGAACUCACGGUGGAGCGGUGAAAUGCGUUGAGAUCGUGAGGAACGCCCGUGGCGAAAGCGGGCGCCUGGACCCCGCCUGACGCUGAGACGCGAAAGCCAGGGGAGCGAACGGGAUUAGAUACCCCGGUAGUCCUGGCCGUAAACCAUGGGCACUGGGUAGGGGGCUCGCCGAUGGGCUCCCUGCCGCAGCGAAGGCGUGAAGUGCCCCGCCUGGGGAGUAUGGUCGCAAGGCUG
rnacentral:rRNA from 1 species